GACGUUGAAUAUCGACGUCAUCUACACCAAAGUUGAUCGUGUUUAUGACGUCGAAUAUCGACGUCAUCUACACCAAAGUUGAUCUUUUUUAUGACGUCGAAUAUCGACGUCAUAAACACCAAAGUUGAUCGUGUUUAUUACGUCGAAUAUCGACGUCAUAAACACCAAAGUUGAUCGUGUUUAUGACGUCGAAUGUCGACCUCAUAAACACCAAAGUUGAUCGCGUUUAUGAAGUCGAAUAUCGACGUU
rnacentral:miRNA from 1 species